AACGAACGCUGGCGGCAUGCCUACACAUGCAAGUCGAACGAGACCUUCGGGUCUAGUGGCGCACGGGUGCGUAACGCGUGGGAACCUGCCCUUAGGUUCGGAAUAACUCCCCGAAAGGGGUGCUAAUACCGGAUAAUGUCUUCGGACCAAAGAUUUAUCGCCUUUGGAUGGGCCCGCGUUGGAUUAGCUAGUUGGUAGGGUAAAAGCCUACCAAGGCGACGAUCCAUAGCUGGUCUGAGAGGAUGAUCAGCCACACUGGGACUGAGACACGGCCCAGACUCCUACGGGAGGCAGCAGUGGGGAAUAUUGGACAAUGGGCGAAAGCCUGAUCCAGCAAUGCCGCGUGAGUGAUGAAGGCCUUAGGGUUGUAAAGCUCUUUUACCCGGGAUGAUAAUGACAGUACCGGGAGAAUAAGCGCCGGCUAACUCCGUG
rnacentral:rRNA from 1 species